rnacentral:rRNA from 1 species
CCUCCUACGGGUGGCUGCAGUGGGGAAUUUUGCACAAUGGGGGAAACCCUGAUGCAGCAACGCCGCGUGGAGGAUGAAGUCCCUUGGGAUGUAAACUCCUUUCGACCGGGACGAUAAUGACGGUACCGGUGGAAGAAGCCCCGGCUAACUCUGUGCCAGCAGCCGCGGUAAUACAGAGGGGGCAAGCGUUGUUCGGAAUUAUUGGGCGUAAAGGGUGCGUAGGCGGUGCGGUAAGUCUUUUGUGAAAUCUCCGGGCUCAACGCGGAGUCUGCAGGAGAAACUGCCGUGCUUGAGUAUGGGAGAGGUGAGUGGAAUUCCUGGUGUAGCGGUGAAAUGCGUAGAUAUCAGGAGGAACACCUGUGGCGAAAGCGGCUCACUGGACCAUUACUGACGCUGAGGCACGAAAGCUAGGGGAGCAAACAGGAUUAGAUACCCCAGUAGUCAGU